GUUUGUUUAUUUUAGCGUGAUUUAUGCGCUCUUGUUUCUACUAAACGUUUACGUGGGAAUCUAGUAUGGGAUGUAUUCUUCAAAAAAUUGCUGACGAAAUAUAAGUGUGUGUUACGUUUUCACAGCCAAAUGAUAUUGGGUGAAGAUCGGGUUGAAGCGAGGUGAAUGCUUAUGGUCCCAUAAAAAUAAUUAACUCUUGACAGAAGUGGUUUAUUAGAUUAAGACCAAUCCGCUGUUUCCUUCAAGUGUGUGUUAGAAUGAAUCCAGAAGGCUCUUUUUCUGUUUUGAAAGAAAUAUG